rnacentral:lncRNA from 1 species
AAAUUCAAAGAGACAAAAGAGACUUGAAAGAAACUACGGGAGUUGAAUUUACAAAAGAUUUCAUUCACUUCAACAACUCUAUAUCAACUAUUUUCUCUUCUCCUUUCUCUUUUUAUUCUUUUUUUCUUCAUAAGGAGUAUGUAUUGAUUGACAUCCUUCUAUUUUUUUCAUUCAUUUUUUUUCUUUUCUAUUUUCUAUUUUUAUUUUUCUGCCAACUUCUGAAAUAUUACAAAUAUAAUUAUUCAAUCUCACACAACUCCAAACAAGACUCUUCCAACCCUUUAAAUAGGGUGAUAACAUUGUUUUUCACUUCUUGGUUUGUAAUGAAUUUUAAACAAAAAAAGGAUAAUAGGCUCAAGGGAGUUUCAAACAAGGGAUGAUAAUAUUUAAGGGUUGGCUUUUUGGCUAUCUGGGUAAAAAAAAUAAAAAAAUAAAACUGCCUUUAUCAUAUCAGUGUGCACAAGUAAACAACAACAUCAACAAGAGUCAACUCAAGUUCUAGAGACUAACAGACAUGAGUGAAUCACACAAGAAAGAAAGAGAUGUAUUUUUGUAUGUUAUCUAUAUAAGGCUCAAAAUCUCACAAUGUUAAUUGAUCUACCACAAAUGAUG